rnacentral:rRNA from 1 species
CAAUAGCGUAUAUUAAAGUUGUUGCAGUUAAAAAGCUCGUAGUUGGAUUUCUGGUUGAAGCGACCGGUCGGGCGUUGAUUCGUCUGCACUGGAGUCGGUUUUGGCCAUCCUCUAGGAAAGUGCGUCUGGUAUUAAGUUAUCGGGCGUAUGAUCCUGGUCUUUUACUGUGAAAAAAUUAGAGUGUUUAAAGCAGGCCUUCGCCUUGAAUACAUUAGCAUGGAAUAAUAAGAUAGGACUUUGGUCUAUUUUGUUGGUUUGCAGACCGAAGUAAUGAUUAAUAGGGAUAGUUGGGGGUAUUUAUAUUCCGAUGUCAGAGGUGAAAUUCUUAGAUUUUCGGAGGAUAAACUUAUGCGAAAGCAUUUACCAAGGAUGUUUNCAUUAA